rnacentral:rRNA from 1 species
UACGUAUGGAGCAAGCGUUAUCCGGAUUUACUGGGUGUAAAGGGAGCGUAGACGGUUAGACAAGUUUGAUGUGAAAGGUGUGGGCUCAACCCGCAAACUGCAUUGGAAACUGUGUAACUGGAGUGUCGGAGAGGUAAGUGGAAUUCCUAGUGUAGCGGUGAAAUGCGUAGAUAUUAGGAGGAACACCAGCGGCGAAGGCGGCUUACUGGACGAUAACUGACGUUGAGGCACGAAGGCGCGGGGAUCGAAC